GUGCUUGCUUCGGCAGCACAUAUACUAAAAUUGGAACAAUAGAGAGAAGAUUAGCACGGCUCCUGUGCAAGGAUGACACUUAAAUUAGUGAAGUGAUCCAUAUUUUU